rnacentral:rRNA from 1 species
CCUACGGGAGGCAGCAGUGGGGAAUAUUGGACAAUGGGCGAAAGCCUGAUCCAGCAAUACCGCGUGAGUGAUGAAGGCCUUAGGGUUGUAAAGCUCUUUUACCAGGGAUGAUAAUGACAGUACCUGGAGAAUAAGCUCCGGCUAACUCCGUG